UACGAAGGGGGCUAGCGUUGUUCGGAAUUACUGGGCGUAAAGGGCCAGUAGGCGGCCAACUAAGUCCGACGUGAAAUCCCCGGGCUCAACCCGGGAACUGCGUCUGAUACUGGGGGGCUUGAAUCCGGGAGAGGGAUGUGGAAUUCCAGGUGUAGCGGUGAAAUGCGUAGAUAUCGAGAGGAACACCAGUGGCGAAGGCGAGUCUCUGGACAUUUCCUGACGCUGAGGCACGAAAGCCAGGGGAGCAAACGGG
rnacentral:rRNA from 1 species